rnacentral:lncRNA from 1 species
GUGUUAUACAAUGAAUUUUAGUCUUAAUGCUUUUAUGCUUUGAUCAUGUAUGAAUUGAAUCUUGAAUUUGACUUGUAUGAGAAUAUUUAGUUGAAUUCCGAUCUAGAUUCAUUGUGCAAUUGUUAAUCCAUUUGAGAAUCUGAACUGACAGUUGUAACGGAAGAUUAACGUGCUUAACGAACUCCUUUACCGAUAGUUUUGAUCAAGAGAUUGGCGAAUUAUAGGUAAAGGAUAGGAUGAAUUUAUCAAGAGAUUGAGAUUCAUCAUCGAGUUAAUCUAGUUGUAACACGUGCGAAGUUCAUCACAUUGCGGUUGAUUACAUAUGAUUAUUACGAUUCAAU